rnacentral:rRNA from 1 species
GUCUAAAGCCAUGCCACCCUGAAUAAGCCCAGUGUAUGAUCUGGGAAACUAAGCAGAGUUGAACCUGGUUAGUGCUUGGAUGGGAGACCACCUAAGAAGACCAGGUACUGUAGGCA